AUUGAACGCUGGCGGCGUGCCUUACACAUGCAAGUCGAACGGCAGCGGACCUUCGGGUGCCGGCGAGUGGCGAACGGGUGAGUAAUAUAUCGGAACGUACCUUUCAGUGGGGGAUAACGUAGCGAAAGUUACGCUAAUACCGCAUAUUCUGUGAGCAGGAAAGCAGGGGAUCGCAAGACCUUGCGCUGAUUGAGCGGCCGAUAUCAGAUUAGCUAGUUGGUGAGGUAAAGGCUCACCAAGGCGACGAUCUGUAGCGGGUCUGAGAGGAUGAUCCGCCACACUGGAACUGAGACACGGUCCAGACUCCUACGGGAGGCAGCAGUGGGGAAUAUUGGACAAUGGGGGCAACCCUGAUCCAGCCAUGCCGCGUGUGUGAAGAAGGCCUU
rnacentral:rRNA from 1 species